rnacentral:lncRNA from 1 species
AGCAUCACCUGGAAGCCAGCGGCCACCCGGCAACCAUCACCUGGCAACCGUUGCUUGGCAACCAUCACCCGGCAACCAUCACCCGGAAGCCGUCGCCUGGCAACCAUCACCUGGCAACUGUUGCUUGGCAACCAUCACCCAGCAAGUGGUACCCAAGCAUCACCCAGGAGGCAGUACCAACCCAGCAACCAUCACCUGGCACCUGUUGCCUGGCAACCGUCGCCUGGCAACCGUCGCCUGGAAACCACCCGGAAAGCGGUACCCAAGCAUCACCCAGGCGGCAGCAGCCACCCAGCAACCAUCACCUGGCAACCGUUGCCUGGCAACCGUCACCUGGCAAGCGGUCCCAAGCAUCACCCGGGAUUCAGCAGCCACCCGGCAACCAUCGCCUGGCAACCGUUGCCUGGCAACCGUCGCCUGUGGCACCCAGCCUGGCAAGUGGUACCCAGGCAUCACCUGGGAGGCAGCAGCCACCUGGCAACUGUUGCUUGGCAACCAUCACCUGGCAAGCGGUACCCAAGCAUCAUCCAGGAGGCAGCAGCAACGUGGCAACCGUUGCCUGGCAACCAUCGCCCGGCAACCACCUGGCAAGUGGCACCCAGGCAUCACCUGGGAGGCAGCAGCCACCUGGCAACUGUUGCUUGGCAACCCUCACCUGGCAAGCGGUACCCAAGCAUCACCUGGGAUCCAGCAGCCACCUGGCAACCAUCACUUGGCAACUGUUGCCUGGCAACCAUCACCUGGCAGGCGGUACCCAAGAAUCACCCAGGAGGCAGCAGCCACCCGGCAACCAUCACCUGGCAACCGUCACCUGGCACCCGUUGCCUGGCAACCAUCACCCGGCAAGGGGUACCCAAGCAUCACCCAGGAGGCAGCACCCGGAGGUUGCCACCCGGCAACCGUCACCUGGCAACCAUCACCUGGCAAUUGUUGCCUGGCAACCAUCACCUGGCAACUGUUGCUUGGCAACCAUCGCCUGGCAAGCGGUACCCAAGCAUCACCUGGGAUCCAGCAGCCACCUGGCAACCAUCACCUGGCAACCGUCACCCAGCAAGCAGUACUCAAGCAUCACCCGGGAGGCAGCAGCCACCUGGCAACCAUCACCUGGCAACCAUCACCCAGAAACCGUCGCCUGGCAACCAUCACCUGGCAACCGUUGCUUGGCAACCAUCACCUGGAAACUGUCGCCUGGCAACCACCUGGCAAAUGGUACCCAAGCAUCACCCAGGAGGCAGCAGCCACCUGGCAACCGUUGCCUGGCAACCAUCACCUGGCAAGCGUUACCUGGCAACCACCUUGGCAACGGUACCUAGCAACCACCCUGGCCAUGGUUACCUGACAACAGCAUCUAGCAAUGGUUCCCUGGCAACGGUACCUGGCAACGGUUACCUGACAACCACCCUGGCAACAGCACCUGGCAACGGUUACCUGGCAACAGCAUCUAGCAAUGGUGCCAGGCAACGGUACCUAGCAACGGUUACCUGGCAACCACCCUGACAAUGGUACCUACCCCAGCAACGGUACCUAACAACCAUCCAUGGUAACCACCUUAGCAACGGUACCUGGCAACAACCCUGGCAACGGUACCUGGCAACAGCACCCGGCAACGGUUCCCUGGCAACCACCCUGGCAACAGCACCUAGCAAUGGUGCCUGGCAACGGUACCUGGCAACCACCCUGGCAAUGGUUACCUGGCAACCACCCUGGCAACCACCCUGGCAACAGCCCCUAGCAACAGUUACCUGGCAAUCACCUUGGCAACGGUACCUGACAACAGCCCCUAGCAACCAUCCUGGCAAUGGUGCCUAGCAACGGUUACCUGGCAACCACCCUGGCAACGGUUACCUGGCAACCAGUCUGGCAACAGUACCUGACAACAGCCCCUAGCAACCAUCCUGGCAACAGCAUCUAGCAACAGCUACCUGGCAACCACCCUGGCAAUGGUACAUAGCAACCACCCUGGCAACGGUUACCUGGCAACCAGCCUGGCAACCAUCCCUGGCAACAGCAUCUAGCAAUGGUGCCUGGCAAUGGUGCCUAGCAACAGUUGCCUGGCAACAGCACCUAGCAACCAUCCUGGCAUGGCACCUAGCAACGGUUACCUGGCAACUACCUUGGCAACGGUACCUGGCAACCACCUUAGCAAUGGUGCCUGGCAACAGCACCUGGCAACGGUUUCCUGGCAACAGCACGUAGCAAUGGUGCCUGGCAACAGCACCUAGCGAUGGUUACCUGGCAACCACCCUGGCAAUGGUACCUAGCAACGGUUACCUGGCAACAGUUACUUGGCAACCAGCCUGGCAACCACCCUGGCAACAGCCCCUAGCAACGGUUACCUGGCAACCACCCUGGCAAUGGUACCCGGUAACCGUCCAUGGCAACCACCCCAGCAACGGUACCUGGCAACCACCCUGGCAACCAUCCUGGCAACAGCACCUAGCAACAGUUUCCUGGCAACAGCAUCUAGCAAUGAUGCCUGGCAACGGUUACCUGGCAA